GAUCCUGGCUCAGGAUGAACGCUAGCUACAGGCUUAACACAUGCAAGUCGAGGGGCAGCAUGGUCUUAGCUUGCUAAGGCCGAUGGCGACCGGCGCACGGGUGAGUAACACGUAUCCAACCUGCCGUCUACUCUUGGACAGCCUUCUGAAAGGAAGAUUAAUACAAGAUGGCAUCAUGAGUCCACAUGUUCACAUGAUUAAAGGUAUUCCCGGUAGACGAUGGGGGA
rnacentral:rRNA from 1 species